rnacentral:rRNA from 1 species
AAAAGAAAGACAAAGGGCACCUGGUGGAUGCCUAGGCUCUAGGAGGCGAAGAAGGACGUGAUAAGCUGCGAUAAGCUACGGGGAGGUGCAAAUGACCGUUAAUCCGUGGAUUUCCGAAUGGGGCAACCCGAUAUACUGAAGGUAUAUCAUCCCGUUAAGGGAGGCGAACGUGGGGAACUGAAACAUCUAAGUACCCAUAGGAGAAGAAAACAAAAGUGAUUCCGUGAGUAGUGGCGAGCGAAAGCGGAACAGCCCAAACCAAUGAUGUAGCAAUGCAUUGUUGGGGUUAUAGGACUGCGAUAUACGAUAUAAAAAGGAAUCGGAAUUACCUGGAAAGGUAAACCAUAGAAGGUGAAAGUCCGGUACGAGUAAUGUUUUAUAGAGUUAGCAGUAUCCUGAGUAGUGCGGGACACGAGAAAUCUUGCAUGAAUUUGCCGGGACCAUCCGGUAAGGCUAAAUACUCCCUAGAGACCGAUAGUGAACCAGUACUGUGAAGGAAAGGUGAAAAGAACCUUGAAUAAAGGAGUGAAAUAGAACCUGAAACCAGGUGCUUACAAGCGGUCGGAGCAGCUUCGUGCUGUGACGGCGUGCCUUUUGCAUAAUGAACCUACGAGUUACUUUUUCUGGCAAGGUUAAGGCUCUCAGAGCUGCAGCCGAAGCGAAAGCGAGUCUGAAUAGGGCGCUAUAGUCAGAAGGAGUAGACGCGAAACCAAGUGAUCUACCCUUGAGCAGGUUGAAGGUUGGGUAACACUAACUGGAGGACCGUACCGGUAUACGUUGAAAAGUGUUCGGAUGACUUGAGGGUAGGGGUGAAAGGCUAAUCAAACUUGGAGAUAGCUCGUACUCCCCGAAAUGCAUUUAGGUGCAGCCUCAGGGGAUUUCUUAUGAGAGGUAGAGCGACUGAUUGGAUGCGAGGGCUUCACCGCCUAUCAAGUCCUGACAAACUCCGAAUGCUCAUAAGAUUACUCUGGGAGUGAGGGCGCGGGUGCUAAGGUCCACGCCCGAGAGGAGAAGAAUCCAGACCAUCAGCUAAGGUCCCCAAAUGUAUGUUAAGUUGAAUUAACGAAGUCGAAUUGCAGCGACAGCUAGGAUGUUGGCUUGGAAGCAGCCAUUCAUUUAAAGAGUGCGUAACAGCUCACUAGUCGAGCGGUUUGGCGUGGAUAAUAAUCGGGCAUAAACAUACUACCGAAGCUAUGGAACCAGUAAUGGUUGGUAGGGGAGCAUUCCAAAUUGCGUUGAAGGUAUAGCGAUAAGCUGUGCUGGAGUAUUUGGAAAAGCAAAUGUAGGUAUAAGUAACGAUAAAGGAGGUGAGAAACCUCCUCGCCGGAAGACUAAGGGUUCCUGAUCAACGCUAAUCGGAUCAGGGUUAGUCGGGGCCUAAGGGGAAGCCGAAUGGCGAACUCGAUGGAAGAAUCGGUUAAUAUUCCGAUACUACCUUAAAGAGCGAUGCAGGGACGGAGUAGUGAAAGUUCUGCUGUCUGACGGAAUAGGCAGUUAAAGGGUGUAGACGUUGAUUAUGGUAGGCAAAUCCGCUGUAAGAGUCGAACCUGAAAGUACAGAGAGCCCUCGUGGUGAUUUGAUAUGAACGUAAACAGACUUCCAAGAAAAUCUGCUAAGCAUAUUUUUAGGGUACCCGUACCACAAACGGACACACGUGGUCAAGUAUAGAGUACUAAGGCGCUCGAGUGAUUCACGGUUAAGGAACUAGGCAAAUUAGACCCGUAACUUCGGGAGAAGGGUCCCCUACUCAGCAAUGAGAGGGCGCAGAGAAAUGGUCCAGGCGACUGUUUAACAAAAACACAGGGCUAUGCAAAAUUGAAAGAUGAAGUAUAUGGCCUGACACCUGCCCGGUGCUGGAAGGUUAAGAGGAGAUGUCAUCGUAAGAGAAGCAUUGAAUUGAAGCCCCAGUAAACGGCGGCCGUAACUAUAACGGUCCUAAGGUAGCGAAAUUCCUUGUCGGGUAAGUUCCGACCUGCACGAAUGGUGUAACGAUCUGGACACUGUCUCAACCGUGAGCUCGGUGAAAUUGUAGUAUCGGUGAAGAUGCCGAUUACCCGCAACGGGACGGAAAGACCCCGUGAACCUUUACUGCAGCUUUGCAUUGUGUUUGGGUAAGUAAUGUGUAGGAUAGGCCGGAGGCUAUGAAGCGGGCACGCUAGUGUUUGUGGAGCCGCCGUUGAAAUACGGCCCUUUGCUUAUUUGAAUACUAAUUCCUUUAAAGGAAGACACUGCAUGGUGGGUAGUUUGACUGGGGUGGUCGCCUCCAAAAGAGUAACGGAGGCUUCUAAAGGUACCCUCAGGCCGAUUGGUAACCGGUCGAAGAGUGUAAUGGCAUAAGGGUGCUUGACUGUGAGACAGACAAGUCGAUCAGGUAGGAAACUAGAGCAUAGUGAUCCGGUGGUUCCGCAUGGAAGGGCCAUCGCUCAAAGGAUAAAAGGUACUCCGGGGAUAACAGGCUGAUCGCUCCCAAGAGCUCAU